ACAAGCCCUGCAUACUAAUUUGUCAGUUUUAAUUCAAAGCUUCAUAAUAAAUAUUAAAUAUUCAAAUCUAAAAUAAAUUCUAAAAUGGUUUUGGACACAUACGACAAAUUUGUGGUUGGACUCAUGUCAAAAAAUUAAUUAAAACUUGUCGUAUGUUCAAAAUAUUUGCAUUAUUUUAAUAAGUUAAUGGGUCGCAGAAUAAAAUUUGAGGAUAGUGCCUUGUUUACUGAGAAAAAUAUGGACAAAGCAGUAUAAGUUUAUUACUACCAUUUAGGACUUCAAUCAUUGAAUGUUUGUGGGAACUGAAAAAUCUAAGGUGUUAAUGGAAAAAAACGAAUAUUAAUAUUAAAAAAAAAAUUAUACUCACACUCGAUUUAUCGACAUCAUCAUCUUCAUGACAUCGCGACACCAUCCAAUACCGCUGCAAACAACAGUCGCCCUUGAGUGAUAUUGAGAGUGCGCGAUCUGAAUAAGAAAUUUUGAAGAAAAAGAGAGCAAAACAUUCUUUUUCUAGCUUCAAGAUAAGACAAAUGAAUGAUAGACCGAGUUUGUUUGGUUUUUUGCACAUUAUUUUCUUUUUCAUUUGAAGGAUAUUCCAAAUUAAAAUGUGGAAUGUCCUCGCACGAAAAAAAAAUCUUUUAUUCCGUUAAAUUUUGUUUUUAGAUUUAUAUUUAUCCUUCGGUUACAAAAUAAGUCUUAGAAAAAAAAAAAAACUUACAGAAGCAGAUGUGUGUAUUCUCUCAAGAGAACAAUAUUCGUUUUCCUCAUUUUGACAACAAAAAAAAAUUUCAAAUUUGAUUUUUUUCUUUUUUUGCAAAAAUGUAAUUUUGUAUUUGACAAUUUUUUAAAUAUAUAUUUUUUGUGUAUAAAAGGUUUGUAAAUGAAAAAUAAAAAAAAAUAAUAAAUACAUAAAGAAGAGAAAAUAACAAAAAUUAUAACAAUUAUAGUAAUGUGAAAAAUAUACUUUUUUUUUGUAAAUCACAAACAAGAAACAGGUGGCAAUAUUUAAUUUUUUUUU